rnacentral:rRNA from 1 species
CAGCAGCCGCGGUAAUACGGAGGGUGCAAGCGUUAAUCGGAAUUACUGGGCGUAAAGCGUGCGUAGGCGGUUCGUUAAGUCUGUUGUGAAAGCCCCGGGCUCAACCUGGGAAUGGCAAUGGAUACUGGCGAGCUAGAGUGUGUCAGAGGAUGGUGGAAUUCCCGGUGUAGCGGUGAAAUGCGUAGAGAUCGGGAGGAACACCAGUGGCGAAGGCGACUCUCUGGUCUGUAACUGACGCUGAGGAGCGAAAGCGUGGGGAGCGAACAGGACUAGAGACCCCAGUAGUCCCUGUCUCUUAUAC